UCCUCUUCAACGCUGCGUUUCUAUGCUACAAACAGAUACGUCUUGGCUUCUGGCCAUGCUAUCAGAUCUCACGAUCGCCAUCCAUAUGCAUAUGAGAAAUUCGGAGUACUCUUCACCCAACCUGCUUCCCCUUCCCCUGCGGAGGGGUGAACGGUCUGCCCGUGAGGGUUUGGCGUGAUCCCACGUCUGCAAUUAGCAUCAGAAAAGCAGGGCAGGCCUCUCCCUAUAUAUCUACUCCUCGGAGGAGAGAAAAGGGCGAGUGUCUGUUCCUAUGGGAGGGCUAUUGCGAAGAUUGUGUGCGCGACAGCGCGACACUUAAGUACAAUACGCGGCGUGCUGGUCUCUUGUUACGCUCCUACCAGGCGCGUUUCAGAGGCGGUACAAUUCGAUUCCGAUUACUCUGUUGAGGA
rnacentral:RNase_P_RNA from 2 species